UUUUUUUUAUUUUAAAAUUUAAAUUAAAGGCGGUGUUAUUUGUUUAAAAUUAAAAUAUAUAACAGGGGAUUCGCUAAUUUUUAUAUUUUUUGGGCUAUUAAUGUCGAUAAACCAAUAUAUAUCUUUAAAAAUUCGACAAAGUCUAUUUUGUUUGGAACCCAAUUUUGGUCCUCGUAACGUUCCAGUUUUGGGAUAAAUUUAAUGCAAAAAAACAUAUUUUUGUUUAUAAAAAAAAAUCGUUGGUCGAUUGCGUUAAUUUAAUAUUAUAUUGUUUAAUUUAUUACGGAAAAUUUUCAAAUCCGUCGAUGUUUGGAAUCCGUAUAAUAUCGCAAAAUAUUUUGCCUUUCCUUACAUAGUUUUUCCCUGUUCGGAAUUUUAAUAUUUGGUCCGAAUAACCGUUGGCUGCGAUAAAACCAAUAAAUAGACGGAAACCAUGGAGGGGCGGAUUGAAAUUUAUAUCGAAUAUUUAACACGACGCGGCUAAGAUCGAUGUUUUUUUUAUAGGUAUGCAAAAGAUAUAACCAAAAAAAGAAGACCCGGAACAAAUAAAUUGCUGUACAGAUUUUUUUAAAUGCAAUAAAACUCUUUUAUAGUUUUUUUUUCAAUUUAAAACGUAAUAUAUCCUUUUCGACUGGAAAUUAGCGUCCUAUAAUAAAGGAUUUUUCCUGGCAAUAUAUUUACCGCCUUAUAACUUGGUAUUAUUUUCUUUGGGUGCGGUUAUAGGGUUAAAUUGUUUUAAUUUUACCCGCGUCCCUAACAGAAUAUGUGGUCGCGAUAUAAUUAACCAAUUAUAUAUUAGGUUGUUAAUAAAAUCUAAAUAAUAUAAUUAUUUGGUGCGUUAAAUCUUCCGUAUAAUUUGUAUUUUUUUCGGUUGGGAGAAAUAACAGGUUUUAACGGUAGCAAGAAUUACUAAUUUAGUCGAUUUAUAUUUUAUAAUUUUGGUUGUAUCGUCUGUUAAAUUCCCGUUUUUCUUACCGCAGCGUCCAUUAAUCCAACCGCAAUAUAAAAACAAUUUUAUUUUGUGGACCAUUGAAAAAAAAAGGAUACGAACAAACAAAAACCGCUUAACGGAAUUGAAAAAAGUUUCGAAAUUAAAUAUGGGUUUCCUCGGCCCACAAUAUAAUUAUUAAUUACUUUCCCCAAAUAAGUUUUUGCCUUUCAGCCCAAAUUCGGGGUUUUUUCGCCGCAAAUAAUAGUUUGCAAUUGGUACAAAACUGUACCAUAUCUAAUAAAUCCAAUAGAGGUUUUGAUUUAUAAUUUUAGACAAAUUUUGGGAUUUCGUCUGAAAUAUAUAUUAAUUCCAACGGAUUAAAUAUUUAGUAAAAACAACCCUAAUUUGGUAUUGAACCUGUAUUUUAUAACUGGAAAUCCGAAAUAGGUCUUAGUAAGAUUAAAUAUAAAUAUUUGGGGUCCCAGUGGCCUGAGAUGAUAAUUUGAGAGGGCAAAUAACAUAUUUUAACUAAGUUGUAAUUUGCACUAUGUUUUCAUUGGGUGCACAACGUCGCCAAAAGCUCAAGGUCUUAAAGCGAACGAGCAAAAAUGCGACCAUAAGGAAAUAUUAUAACGAAUUGCUUAGCAAACCUAUUAAAGAAUUGCUAGAGUUAAAUAAAGCGGACGCGAUGGAAAUCGACGUUUAAAAGCUUUUAAACGAGGAAAUUCAAGACCCGGAGGACAAAAACCAAAGUUCCGAGACCGCGUUUAAAAACAAAAUAGCGAUCGUGCAGGAACGUCGGGAUUGGGUUGAAAAUUUAAAAGGACGGACCACUAAUCCCACAAAAAAAAAUUGGUGCGAUUUUAUAUUAGCCAAAAUUAAUGAGGAGCUAUUUGAAGAAGAUAAAUCUUGUUUUAAGGAACGCAACCCUCGAAAUGGGGCGGAAAAAUAAGGCCCAAAUAACAAAAAUUAAAAUUCUGAGCAAAGCUAGGAUACGAAAGGAAAUAACGAUAAAUUAUCAAAUAAUAAUGCAAACGUUAAAACCGGAUUUAACCGUGGCCAACCCGGGUAUGUUAAAAACGAAUUUUCGCCCAAUGGAAAAGAAGGAAAUGGUUUGAAAUAAACAACGUUUAACAACGAUAAAAAACCAUUGGUUCCAUUCCCCGGAAACGUUGCAAAUGGAAAAAUUAAAAUUGUAGGGUGGUUUGGUGGCUGGGGUAUUAAAUAUAUUAAUAUAUAUGGUAAUAAAAGCGCUCCGACGUAUUAUAUUGAAAAAUACUAUUAUCCCCCAAAUUACGAAAAUGAGAAAUAUAUAAUAUAUUAAAAACAAAAUAUUUCCAACCAGGAAAAUAAAUAUGGAAAAAAAAUGGAAAACGGUAAAUAUAAAUAUACCGGGCGUUAUAUAUUUGGGAUUUACGGGGUUACCUGGAUAUAUAAUUUGGAUGUUUCCCCGCAUAAAUUGGAUUUAAUCGAUCCGCAGCGGAAAAAAAAACCUAAUAUUUAUAUUUUCGUUAAAUGGAAAAUUAAUGGGAAAAAAAUAAAAUUCUGGGAGACGCGGACCUGUAUUCGACAAUUGUGGAAAAAAUUAAAAAAAACAAACCAGGUUAUUUACAAUACGGCGUUUAAAGCCGAAAAUAAAUAUAGGAUGGUUUAAAGUUUGGGGCGUUUAAAUAGCCGGUCGCCGUUUGUCGGCUUUAUCCACGAUAUAAUUAAACAAAAACGAGCGGAAUCCCUAAAUCCAAUUUUAUUAGUUUAGGAACGCGUUAAAACACCAAAUUAAACGGCCAAUCCCAUUCCGGCAAAUGUUUCGAUCGCCCAACUUUUUGCAAUAUUUCCGGCUUCCGGAGGUACAAUUGCGAAAUAUACGGUAUCCAUACAUCCAAUUAUAUCGGCCCUUUCCCAUAAUAUAAUAUCGCCCGGUUACGCACCCAUUUAAAUAGCUAAUUUUAAUCCGAUAAAAUUUAUUCCUAUAUUUAACCAGUUCCUUAAUUUUAUAUAAUCCGCUCAGGCCUUUACCCCGGCUGCGUUAUAUAUGUAAAUCGUGCUUUUUAUUUAUUUAUUGGUUUUAAUACUUUUUAAAUUCCCUAAUAUUUGGUAGUUUGUUUAAUAUUAAAUUAAUGUAACCAGCCCUUUUUAAUUGUUUGGUUUUAUUUUAAUAUUAUAUAAAAUGGAAUGCCGUUUUAGAAUAAAUUAAUCCCUUUAAAAGCUUUAUAAUUCGAGAGAUUAUUUUCCAGGAUAUAUAUAUAUAUAUAAUGGCAAAUAUUUAAUUCCCUGUAACAAUUUUUCUCCCCUUUGUUUAUCCUCUGACAGAAACGGCUUUUGCGAAUUAUUUUACCUUAUAUGGUUGGUUUGGUUUUUGUAACUUUGGUUAGAAGGUAAUAUCGGUGGGCAAAUUAUAAAUUACUUGCAUUCCGAAAAAUAGAAAAUAAAAACUUUUGCCGUUAUCCGAAAUA
rnacentral:sRNA from 1 species